UACAGAGGUCCCAAGCGUUGUUCGGAUUCAUUGGGCGUAAAGGGUGCGUAGGCGGCGCGGGAAGUCGGGUGUGAAAUCUCGGAGCUUAACUCCGAAACUGCAUUCGAUACUGGCGUGCUUGAGGACUGGAGAGGAGACUGGAAUUCAUGGUGUAGCAGUGAAAUGCGUAGAGAUCAUGAGGAAGACCAGUGGCAAAGGCGGGUCUCUGGACAGUUCCUGACACUGAGGCGCGACAGCGUGGGGAGCAAACAGG
rnacentral:rRNA from 1 species